UGUCCUUCAUCACAACACAAGACAUACAAAUCCUCCUCCUCAUCACAAACAUGACUCUGAUCUGCGUCCUCAUCUGGACUCUCCUCUGCUGCUGCUUCACAGAGUCCAGAGGACAGGUCACAGUGACUCAGCCUGCAGCAGUGAGCUCUGCUCUGGGAGCCUCCGUCACCAUCUCAUGCAGGACCAGUCAGGAUGUUUAUUAUUACAGCACCAACUCAUGGCACUAUUUACACUGGUACCAACAGAAAGAUGGAGGAAUUCCUAAACUCCUCAUUAAGUAUAAUCAGCGAGAAUCUGGGACUCCAGAUCGUUUUUCAGGCAGUGGAUCAGGCUCUGACUACACUCUGACCAUCAGUGGAGUCCAGACUGGAGAUGCAGCAGUUUACUACUGUAAGGGAGAAUAUAACAUCAACAGCCUUUGGUCAUUCACACAGUGA